AUCAGCCCUGGUGCUAAUUGAGGACUUAGAUGACACUGAACUUUUAAUACUUGAUCACACCAAGAACAUAUCACGAGAAAGCUGGCUUUCCAAGAUAAGACAAACCAAAAGGGCUAACAAAGCCAAAAUUUUGAAUGAAACUAUUGAGUUCAUUAGAGAUAGCAAAUUCACAAGUGGACACGCACGCCAUCUAGAUAAAACUUAAGUUUCUAAACUACUACAAGCCCGUUUGGUUGAAUGUCAUUGUUUUUUGCAGAGUAAUACUACUUUGUUGUAGUUUGUGUAUCAGACCCGACCACAGUUUUCUCUUGUGCAGGAUUAGCCGAGUCCUUCGGUUUCUCUAUGGUGGAGUGAGUCGGGUCAUCCAUCUUAUCUUCAUCUCGCUUCUCUUGGUCUCCAUCCUUGGACUUGGAGCUUCAUCCUUGCCGACUUCCUCAGCAUCCUUAUAGCCAACUCCUACGCCACCACAAGUAGCUCCCAUCAAAUCAUUGUUAAACCAAUGUAUUAAUAUAUAUCCCCUCAAUGGCACAACUAUCCUCAUCUUGGGAGUCCGUUCUAGGAGGAACGGGAUCACUGGUGUGCUAGAACUGGGUGGUGCAGAGGGAGUCAGCGGAGUCUGUUUUGGGUGCUUAGGAACAAGAUCGAACAUCUUGGGAUUUAGCGGCUCUAUACGCCUAUUGCGAGAAUCAUAUCUAGGCUAAAAUUGGGACAAUUCCAAACCACGUGCAAUUAUACAAGCAUAAUGUCAAGUCUCCUUAUUUACCCUAGAAAAGUGGGUUGCACCAAAGUAGUAUUGUCAAAUUUUAUUUCAGGAAACCCACCACCCAGCCAGCAUAUCUGGAUUCAUCUCUGGAAGAUAUGUCUUUGCCAAGGCUAUGACCGGCAUUUCUCCCUUAGGACAAGCAGAAAGCUUCAAAUCUUUAACCACUCUGGCAUAAUUAAUAGUUCUUCCAACAAAUCAAUCAAUUUUGUGGUAGCUGGACCCAACCUUUCACACUUCUUAUAACCUUUGCACUUCCAAUGUACAACAGCUUAAUUAGCAUGUACAAAGCCUUCAGUUUGAAGUCAUGCCGCUCGAGAUUGAUUGCACAUUUUUUAUCUAAAGAAGAUAAAAAAUAGAAAAUCUAGAGUUGGAAUUCAUGAGCAGGAAAGUAAUAACCCGGUUCAAUAAUAGAUAAGAGAAAAUUUCGGCUUACUGAAAGUGGCGAUGGAGAUCUUGUUCAGUUGGUUUUUAUGGUCGUGCAAUCCAAGUCCACAACAUUCAGUUUUUCCUCUACAAUUCCCGCUGGGUUAGAUUCUCCUCCUACCCUGGGAAUUUUUUUCUUGGCAUCUACAACUUUUGAGAAACCUUGAGUGUAGAUCCUUGGAUAUCUUGAGCCCGCUUCUUGGCCUUUUCACAUUUUCCGGCUUCUUUGCCAAGCAGCUAUUUCAAGUUCGCAAAUUCUUGCUCUACUUGC
rnacentral:lncRNA from 1 species